rnacentral:tRNA from 1 species
GGGGGUAUAGCUCAGUGGUAGAGUUUGUGCUUGGCGUGUGUGAGGUUCUGGGUUCAAACUCCAGUGCUUUCA